rnacentral:rRNA from 1 species
UACGUAGGUGGCAAGCGUUGUCCGGAUUUACUGGGCGUAAAGCGCACGCAGGCGGAUCGUUAAGUCAGGGGUGAAAUCCCGAGGCUCAACCUCGGAACUGCCUUUGAUACUGGCGAUCUUUGAGUCCGGGAGAGGUGAGUGGAACUCCGAGUGUAGAGGUGAAAUUCGUAGAUAUUCGGAAGAACACCAGUGGCGAAGGCGGCUCACUGGCCCGGUACUGACGCUCAUGUGCGAAAGCGUGGGGAGCAAACAGG